UAGGGAAUAUUGGACAAUGGGGGCAACCCUGAUCCAGCCAUGCCGCGUGAGUGAAGAAGGCCCUCGGGUUGUAAAGCUCUUUUGUCCGGAAAGAAAAGCUUCGGGUUAAUACCCCGGGGUUCUGACGGUACCGGAAGAAUAAGCACCGGCUAACUUCGUGCCAGCAGCCGCGGUAAUACGAAGGGUGCAAGCGUUACUCGGAAUUACUGGGCGUAAAGCGUGCGUAGGUGGUUGUUUAAGUCUGAUGUGAAAGCCCUGGGCUCAACCUGGGAAUGGCAUUGGAAACUGGGCAGCUAGAGUGCGGUAGAGGGUAGUGGAAUUCCCGGUGUAGCAGUAAAAUGCGUAGAGAUCGGGAGGAACAUCUGUGGCGAAGGCGACUGCCUGGACCAGCACUGACACUGAGGCACGAAAGCGUGGGGAGCAAACA
rnacentral:rRNA from 1 species